AAAGGAAUUGACGGGGGCCCGCACAAGCGGUGGAGCAUGUGGUUUAAUUCGACGCAACGCGAAGAACCUUACCAGGGCUUGACAUCCUCUGACAGCUAUAGAGAUAUAGUGUUCUCUUACGAGACAGAGAGACAGGUGGUGCAUGGUUGUCGUCAGCUCGUGUCGUGAGAUGUUGGGUUAAGUCCCGCAACGAGCGCAACCCCUGUACUUAGUUGCCAUCAUUAAGUUGGGCACUCUAAGUAGACUGCCGGUGACAAACCGGAGGAAGGUGGGGAUGACGUCAAAUCAUCAUGCCCUUUAUGUCCUGGGCUACACACGUGCUACAAUGGUCGGUACAAAGGGCAGCGAGACCGUGAGGUGGAGCCAAUCCCAAAAAGCCGAUCACAGUUCGGAUUGUAGGCUGCAACUCGCCUACAUGAAGUCGGAAUCGCUAGUAAUCGCAGGUCAGCAUACUGCGGUGAAUACGUUCCCGGGCCUUGUACACACCGCCCGU
rnacentral:rRNA from 1 species